UACGGGGGGUGCGAGCGUUGUCCGGAAUCAUUGGGCGUAAAGAGUUCGUAGGUGGUUUGUUAAGUUUGGUGUUAAAGGCGCAGGCUCAACCUGUGUACGGCAUCGGAUACUGGCAGACUAGGAUGCGGUAGGGGUAAAGGGAAUUUCUGGUGUAGCGGUGAAAUGCUUAGAUAUCAGGAAGAACAUCGGUGGCGUAAGCGCUUUACUCGGCCGUAAUUGACGCUGAGGAACGAAAGCCAGGGUAGCAAAU
rnacentral:rRNA from 1 species